rnacentral:rRNA from 1 species
GUGGGGAAUAUUGCACAAUGGGGGAAACCCUGAUGCAGCAACGCCGCGUGAGUGAAGGAGUGCUUCGGCAUGUAAAGCUCUAUCAGCAGGGAAGAAGAAGGACGGUACCUGACUAAGAAGCCCCGGCUAACUACGUGCCAGCAGCCGCGGUAAUACGUAGGGGGCAAGCGUUAUCCGGAUUUACUGGGUGUAAAGGGAGCGUAGACGGCAGCGCAAGUCUGAAGUGAAAGCCCGUGGCUCAACCGCGGAACUGCUUUGGAAACUGUGCGGCUGGAGUGCUGGAGAGGUAAGCGGAAUUCCUGGUGUAGCGGUGAAAUGCGUAGAGAUCAGGAGGAACACCGGUGGCGAAGGCGGCUUACUGGACAGUAACUGACGUUGAGGCUCGAAAGCGUGGGGAGCAAACAGG